AGACUAGAUAAUUUAUAAAGAAAAAGAGGUUGAAUGGACUCACAGUUCCACAUGGCUGGGGAGGUCUCACAAUCAUGGCAGCAGGCAAGAGAGAAUGAGAGUCAAGUGAAAGGGGAAACCCCUUAUAAAAACAUCAGAUUCCGCGAGACUUAUUCACUACCACGAGAAUAAUAUGGGGGAAACUGCUCCCAUGAUUCAAUUAUCACUCACCACGUCCCUCCCACAACAUGCGCAACAUGCGGAGAUUAUGGGAGCUACAAUUCAAGAUGAGAUUUAGGUGGGGACACAGGCAAACCAUAUCAAGGAGUUACAGAGUUAAGAGUGGGAGGCAGUUGGAUGCCUGUGUUGGUAUCUGCAGUGCAGGGCUUGAAGCCUAGGCACCAAGAGGGGGCCAGUUAGAUUGGUUGAAAGGGACAUGGAGACCAGAGGGGCUUCUUUCCAGUUCCUUCUUUGUGGGGAACAUUGGGAUCAGAGAGGGUUCUAAGCUCAUUUCAGAAGCCCCAACAUACUUAAAUGAACAUGGCUAGAAAAACUGAAGAUUGAAUUUACUAAUCAUUCCUUGAUUCUCAUUUGUCUCAGGAUUAAGCUUUGGAGGGUAGAGAAUAACCCAGUUGAAAAUCUGCAAGCAAUGCUGUCCACAUCCCGAAUAGACUGGUCAAAAAGCCUUCAUCCCGUCAGUCACUGACAUCAACCUCAUCCAAAUCAGACUCCUAAAAACCCGGCCUAACUUAUGUGUCAUGCAAAGGAUGGCUCUUGGAAAAAUGCAAAGAGUGGUCAGGAGAAGAAACCAACAAGAAAUGUAACCUACCUCCAGAACUCAGGAACUCAGGUACCCUUAAGGAUAUCAGAAACAAUGAAAUAUGGAUUGGCAGAAGCAUCUUCACCGCCAUCUUCAGAUGUAAUUAAUGCAGCUGUUGAAUUUGGUUGACUAUCCACCUAUAAUUACCACAUUGCCCAUUACAGAUUUUUGCUGCCUUUUCUUGCCUCCUUUUCAUUUUUACAUCCACUUAUUCCGUACAGAAAUGACAGAUAAUCAGCAUUUUUGUUUUCUUGUUAUGUUGUCCUGAUAGUACAGCUACAAAUGGAUUUGAUGUGCUGAAUAAUGGUCUACUAGGCCUAAAAAUGAAAGUCUAGACGCUUAGUCAAAAAUAACUUGCAUCUAUGUGAUACUUUCCAAGAAAAGAGGAAUUAUAAGAAAAAGAAUAUUAGUUUAAUGUUCUGUAAAUUUUUUUCUUAACCUAUUCUGUCCAGUAUUUACUACUUGGCUGCAUUCCUAAAACAUAAAUUUCACAGGGGCAGGAGUCUUUGUCCAUUUUGCUCAUUAAUGUGUUAGGAAUACUAAAAAGAGUGUCUAGCGGGG
ensembl:lincRNA